GAGCAGUUGACUUUUAAUCAAUUGGUCGCAGGUUCGAAUCCUGCACGACCCACCA
rnacentral:tRNA from 5 species